rnacentral:misc_RNA from 1 species
AACGCAACUUGCGCCGGAUUACCGGCAUGCCUGUUUCAGUGUGCUUGGAGAGUAAACUAUCAUUAUAAAAUAUCAUGCGAUUGAGGUACAUUUAUGUUCUUCUUUCGUUGAAUAUGAAAGUGCUAAAGAUUAUUGCUUAACUCUAAAUCACAUCUAAGCUAUUAAAUAACUCCAAAUUUGGCAUCUGAAAUCAGACAAGGAUACCCGCUGAGCUUAA